UUCACACUGUCUCUCACUACCAGAUUCUCUCCUCAUACUCCAUACACCAGCCUUUCUAUCCAGCCCCUCCCCCCUUGGCUCCACCUUCUGUCCUCUCCUUGGCUCCUUCUUCACUGUUCUGCUAUGACAGGCAGGUGAGGGCAGGGCUGUUUGCUACAGGCGGCCUCCAGCUCCCUAAUAUCUCUGCUGGAUGCUUCAUCGUCUCCCAUCAUUGUCAGUGCUUCCAUGAUCACGAGUCUAACCAAAUAUUCCAGAAUAUGUCAUCUCAGAGCCAUCUUGGGGAAUAUUACAACUGGGUGGAUGGCUGUGAAUUUAUAAAGCCUGCAGACCAGAGCAUGUGCUGGCACUAA
rnacentral:lncRNA from 1 species